AAAGAAAAGCGUGUUUUUGGCAUCUUUAGUGUGACCUUCUUGUUCGUGUUAUCUUGGGUCAUAGCAUUCAUCGCUGUGGAAGAAGGAGUUGGAGUGUUUCACAUACUCUUCAUUAUCUUCAAUAUCCUUCUCGGAAUGUUUAUCUUCAUAUUCUACUGUAUAUGCAAGAAAGAUGCCAGAGAUGCCAUUUCCUCAUGUGCAUGUAACCGAGAGACAGCGAACGUCAUUAUAAACCAAUGAGAACCAAUAAGAGUUCAAGUUCUGAUAAUGAAACAGAUGUUGGAACAGCAGAGACGAGAACAUAAUUAAGAAUAUAAAAAAUUAAUGUCUUUGAGAAUCUUCUUUUCUUCUUAUAUUACAUUAAACAUGCUUGCAUAAAAGAGAACUUCAUUUUUAUCUAUCAAUACAACACUACGAAACUUAGACACUUUAUAAAC